rnacentral:rRNA from 1 species
UACGGAGGGUGCAAGCGUUAAUCGGAAUUACUGGGCGUAAAGCGUGCGUAGGCGGUUUGUUUAGUCAGAUGUGAAAGCCCUGGGCUCAACCUGGGAAUGGCAUUUGUGACUGCAAGGCUAGAGUACGGCAGAGGGGGGUAGAAUUCCACGUGUAGCAGUGAAAUGCGAAGAUAUGUGGAGGAAUACCGAUGGCGAAGGCAGCCCCCUGGGUCGAUACUGACGCUCAUGCACGAAAGCGUGGGGAGCAAACAGG